CUUCAGAUGGCCGAGAAAAAAGCAAUAGAUUUUUAAUCUAUGGACGAUAUGAAUUUAUCUCUGAAGA
rnacentral:tRNA from 1 species